UACGUAGGGCGCAAGCGUUGUCCGGAAUUAUUGGGCGUAAAGAGCUCGUAGGCGGCUUGUCACGUCGGAUGUGAAAGCCCGAGGCUUAACCUCGGGUCUGCAUUCGAUACGGGCUAGCUAGAGUGUGGUAGGGGAGAUCGGAAUUCCUGGUGUAGCGGUGAAAUGCGCAGAUAUCAGGAGGAACACCGGUGGCGAAGGCGGAUCUCUGGGCCGUAACUGACGCUGAGGAGCGAAAGCAUGGGUAGCGAACAGG
rnacentral:rRNA from 1 species